rnacentral:tRNA from 1 species
GGGCCGGUAGCUCAGCAUGGUAGAGCGGCGGGCUUUUAGACCCGUAGGUCGCGGGUUCAAAUCCCGCCCGGCCCA